rnacentral:rRNA from 1 species
GUAGGGUGCAAGCGUUAAUCGGAAUUACUGGGCGUAAAGCGUGCGCAGGCGGUUGUGUAAGUCAGAUGUGAAAUCCCCGGGCUCAACCUGGGAAUUGCAUUUGAGACUGCACGGCUAGAGUGUGUCAGAGGGGGGUAGAAUUCCACGUGUAGCAGUGAAAUGCGUAGAUAUGUGGAGGAAUACCGAUGGCGAAGGCAGCCCCCUGGGAUAACACUGACGCUCAUGCACGAAAGCGUGGGGAGCAAACAGGAUUAGAUACCCUGUAGUCCACGCCCUAAACGAUGUCUACUAGCUGUCGGGUCUUAAUUGACUUGGUAACGCAGCUAACGCGUGAAGUAGACCGCCUGGGGAGUACGGUCGCAAGAUUA